GAGACACAAGAGACAUCAUGUAGCUGCCAUAAAAGUAAAAGGUCCGGACCCUUUCUCCGGACACAAAACGGAAUGGAGUAGAAUUUAUAUUCAUGGGAGAUUGCGGACGAGGAAGGUUGCAUCUUGUGGCUUUAAAUGAGAAUGUAUUCCUACAGCCAGACCAUAAAUUUCAAGUAACAGCCAUCAAAGGAGCAUGCUGAUUAGUAAAGACAGGAGAGAACAACCAAUAGGAAUGUUACAUACUAAUUAGCAAAGACAAAGGAGAACAACCAAUCAGGAACGUCUGCUUAUUGUUCAAUGCAAAUUACGUCAACUCUGAAUGUAAGCUGUGCAAACCAUCAAAGAUGAGACAGUGUUCAGAAUCUAGUUAGUAGCUACAAAGUCAUUUAAAAAUGUUCACAUUAUCUAUUAACAAAUAAAACUAAUUUUAUUUGAAUCAUUUUUAUUUAUAAAAUGUACUUAAAUGCA